rnacentral:rRNA from 1 species
GAUGAACGCUGGCGGCGUGCUUAACACAUGCAAGUCGAGCGAUGAAGUUUCCUUCGGGGAACGGAUUAGCGGCGGACGGGUGAGUAACACGUGGGUAACCUGCCUCAUAGAGUGGAAUAGCCUUCCGAAAGGAAGAUUAAUACCGCAUAAUGUUGAAAGAUGGCAUCAUCAUUCAACCAAAGGAGCAAUCCGCUAUGAGAUGGACCCGCGGCGCAUUAGCUAGUUGGUGGGGUAACGGCCUACCAAGGCGACGAUGCGUAGCCGACCUGAGAGGGUGAUCGGCCACAUUGGGACUGAGACACGGCCCAGACUCCUACGGGAGGCAGCAGUGGGGAAUAUUGCACAAUGGGGGAAACCCUGAUGCAGCAACGCCGCGUGAGUGAUGAAGGUUUUCGGAUCGUAAAGCUCUGUCUUUGGGGAAGAUAAUGACGGUACCCAAGGAGGAAGCCACGGCUAACUACGUGCCAGCAGCCGCGGUAAUACGUAGGUGGCGAGCGUUAUCCGGAUUUACUGGGCGUAAAGGGAGCGUAGGCGGAUGAUUAAGUGGGAUGUGAAAUACCCGGGCUCAACUUGGGUGCUGCAUUCCAAACUGGUUAUCUAGAGUGCAGGAGAGGAGAGUGGAAUUCCUAGUGUAGCGGUGAAAUGCGUAGAGAUUAGGAAGAACACCAGUGGCGAAGGCGACUCUCUGGACUGUAACUGACGCUGAGGCUCGAAAGCGUGGGGAGCAAACAGG